AACGAACGCUGGCGGCAUGCCUAACACAUGCAAGUCGAACGCCCUCUUCGGAGGGAGUGGCGCACGGGUGCGUAACGCGUGGGAACCUGCCCUUAGGUUCGGAAUAACUCAGAGAAAUUUGAGCUAAUACCGGAUAAUGUCUUCGGACCAAAGAUUUAUCGCCUUUGGAUGGGCCCGCGUUGGAUUAGCUAGUUGGUGGGGGUAAAGGCCUACCAAGGCGACGAUCCAUAGCUGGUCUGAGAGGAUGAUCAGCCACACUGGGACUGAGACACGGCCCAGACUCCUACGGGAGGCAGCAGUGGGGGAAUAUUGGACAAUAGGGCGAAAGACCUGAUCCAGCAAUG
rnacentral:rRNA from 1 species